UACGAAGGGGGCUAGCGUUGUUCGGAAUUACUGGGCGUAAAGCGCACGUAGGCGGUGUUCUUUGUCAGAGGUGAAAGCCCGGGGCUCAACUCCGGAAUUGCCUUUGAAACGGGAACGCUAGAGUCCGAGAGAGGAUGGCGGAAUUCCUAGUGUAGAGGUGAAAUUCGUAGAUAUUAGGAAGAACACCAGUGGCGAAGGCGGCCAUCUGGCUCGGUACUGACGCUCAGGUGCGAAAGCGUGGGGAGCAAACAGG
rnacentral:rRNA from 1 species